UCAAGAGAUUGGAUGGCAAGUCUUUGACCAAAAUGUUUCAACAAACAAAAAAAGGAAAAUCAACCAAUGAUCGUCAAGAUCUUGCAAGGGUAAUCACCCUUUACUUGUGCUUGAAACUUCUCAUGCCCACAACAGGCCAUACACUCAGUUGGAGUUUCCUCAACUAUGUUGACAAUCUCAACAACAUCAAGAAGUACAAUUGGGUUAAGGCAAUAAAAGACACACUGAUGAAUUCAAUGGCAAAUGCAAACAACAACCCAAGGCAUGUCACUGGAUGCGUCAUGUUACUCUUGUAAACUCCUCCGACCAUCCAACAAAGAAGGCUUCCCAAGGUUUAUGAAAUGGAACCUUGGCAAAAUGUACUCCAAGUGGAAACACAUCAGCCUUGCUCACUUUGAAAAGGUUAACCAAAGUGCUUUAACCCCAACUGAACAAGAAAUACAGUUAUUGCAUAUCAAUCAAAGCACAUCAACA